UACGUAGGGUGCAAGCGUUGUCCGGAAUUAUUGGGCGUAAAGAGCUCGUAGGCGGUCUGUUACGUCGGCUGUGAAAACCUGGGGCUCAACUCCGGGCCGGCAACCGAUACGGGCAGACUAGAGUUCGGCAGGGGAGACUGGAAUUCCUGGUGUAGCGGUGAAAUGCGCAGAUAUCAGGAGGAACACCGGUGGCGAAGGCGGGUCUCUGGGCCGAAACUGACGCUGAGGAGCGAAAGCGUGGGGAGCAAACAGG
rnacentral:rRNA from 1 species